rnacentral:sRNA from 1 species
AAUAUUUGCUUUCUCUUCUUCCUUUCUUCCGGAUGAGAGGCUAAGCCAUAAUAGAAAGAAUGGAUAAUUAUUGAUUGACCAUCUUUAUUCUGUGGGCUCUGAUUCUCCAAUGGGAAUACCAAGGGAUGGUUUUCCAUACUGGAACCCAAAGGUAAAGACACUCAAGGACAGACAUUUUUGGCAGAGAUGGAAAGGAAGUGGAAGACAGGCAGAGUGCACCGUAUCAAGGGAGAACUUCAAUUCUGCGGGAUGGCAUCACUGAAGGGAAGGCUGCUCUCCGAAUACACAACGUCACAGCCUCUGACAGUGGAAAGUACUUGUGUUAUUUCCAAGAUGGUGACUUCUAUGAAAAAGCCCUGGUGGAGCUGAAGGUUGCAGACCCCUUCUUCAGGAGCGCCCAGCCCUGGAUCGCAGCCCUGGCAGGGACCCUGCCUAUCUUGCUGCUACUUCUCGCCGGAGCCAGUUACUUCUUGUGGAGACAACAGAAGGAAAUAACUGCUCUGUCCAGUGAGAUAGAAAGUGAGCAAGAGAUGAAAGAAAUGGGAUAUGCUGCAACAGAGCAGGAAAUAAGCCUAAGAGAGAGCCUCCAGGAGGAACUCA